rnacentral:rRNA from 1 species
UACAGAGGUCCCGAGCGUUGUUCGGAUUCACUGGGCGUAAAGGGUGCGUAGGUGGUGAGGUAAGUCGGAUGUGAAAUCUCCGGGCUCAACCCGGAAAUGGCAUUGGAAACUACCUUGCUGGAGGAUUUGAGGGGGGAUUGGAAUACUUGGUGUAGCAGUGAAAUGCGUAGAUAUCAAGUGGAACACCAGUGGCGAAGGCGAAUCCCUGGAAAAUACCUGAACACUGAGGCACGAAAGCUAGGGAGCAAACAGG